CAAUGAUGCACGGGAGCUUGGGGAUGACCAGGCUGAGAGGACGGCUACUCUGUCGUCGACCGUUGAACCUGAACUGGGUAAUGCCAGCGGAGGAAUGUUUAUAUAGACCGGA
rnacentral:ncRNA from 2 species